UCCGGUAUGGUGUAGUGGCUAACAUUUCGCGCUCUCAUAACUUGAGAGAAACGUACCGCGGAGCCCAGGGUUCGAUUCCCUGUACCGGAG
rnacentral:tRNA from 1 species